CACGUAGGGGACGAGCGUUGUCCGGAUUCAUUGGGCGUAAAGCGCGCGUAGGCGGCUCGGAAAGUCGGUCGUGAAAUGCCGGGGCUCAACCCCGGGACUGCGUCCGAUACUCCCGAGCUGGAGGCAGGUAGGGGAGAUCGGAAUUCCUGGUGUAGCGGUGAAAUGCGCAGAUAUCAGGAGGAACACCGGUGGCGAAGGCGGUUCUCUGGGCAUGUCCUGACGCUGAGGAGCGAAAGUGUGGGGAGCGAACAGG
rnacentral:rRNA from 1 species